rnacentral:rRNA from 1 species
AGUAACACGGUGGGGAACCUCGCCCCAUAGUCUGGGAUACCACUUAGGAAACAGGUGCUAAUACCGGAUAAGAAAGCGGAUCGCAUUAUCAGCUUUUAAAAGGCGGCGUAAGCUGUCGCUAUGGGAUGGCCCCGCGGUGCAUUAGCUAGUUGGUAAGGUAAAGGCUUACCAAGGCGAUGAUGCAUAGCCGAGUUGAUAUACUGAUCGGCCACAUUGGGACUGAGACACGGCCCAAACUCCUACGGGAGGCAGCAGAC